AAGUAGGCCUAACGAUCCCUAAAUAGCCUCAGGUGCGUGAGGAUUGGGGUGACAGACAAGUUACCUCCGGGACAACUGGCUUGUGGCUGCUAAGAGAUCAAAUCAACGCAGCUUUUUGAUUCUUCGAUGUCGGCUCUUCCUAUCCUAGUGAUGUACAAGUUGCUAAGGGUCGGAUUGUUCACCCGUAUUAGGGAUCGUGAGCUGGGUUUAGACCGUCGUGAGCCAGGUUUGUUUUAUCCUACUGGAUAUAGCAUCAUGAUAGUAGAUUGAUUUAGUACGAGAGGAACUGUUGAUUAUGGCCUCUGGUUAGCGAUUAUCGGAAACGGUAUGUCGCGCAGCUACGCCGUCUGGGAUAAUGGCUGAAAGCCUCUUAAGCCAGAAGCCCAUCUAGAAAGUGAUGCACGUGAUGUUGGACCGAUACGAAUAAUCAUACUCAAAAGGUCCGCUUCAUAGGUAACCCAAUGUAGAAGACAUUGUGUGAACGAAGGUACUGUAAGCAGUGGAGUGGCAUUACGUCCACGACCUGUUGAGGUUCAGCUUCGCUUCUAGGUUUCC
rnacentral:ncRNA from 1 species